rnacentral:rRNA from 1 species
UACGUAGGGUGCAAGCGUUAAUCGGAAUUACUGGGCGUAAAGCGUGCGCAGGCGGUGAUGUAAGACAGGUGUGAAAUCCCCGGGCUUAACCUGGGAACUGCAUUUGUGACUGUAGAGCUGGAGUACGGUAGAGGGGGAUGGAAUUCCGCGUGUAGCAGUGAAAUGCGUAGAUAUGCGGAGGAACACCGAUGGCGAAGGCAAUCCCCUGGACCUGUACUGACGCUCAUGCACGAAAGCGUGGGGAGCAAACAGG